rnacentral:rRNA from 1 species
ACAUCCAGCGAACUUGGCAGAGAUGCCUUGGUGCCUUCGGGAACGCUGAGACAGGUGCUGCAUGGCUGUCGUCAGCUCGUGUUGUGAAAUGUUGGGUUAAGUCCCGCAACGAGCGCAACCCUUUAUCCUUUGUUGCCAGCGAUUCGGUCGGGAACUCAAAGGAGACUGCCGGUGAUAAACCGGAGGAAGGUGGGGAUGACGUCAAGUCAUCAUGGCCCUUACGAGUAGGGCUACACACGUGCUACAAUGGCGCAUACAAAGAGAAGCGACCUCGCGAGAGCAAGCGGACCUCAUAAAGUGCGUCGUAGUCCGGAUCGGAGUCUGCAACUCGACUCCGUGAAGUCGGAAUCGCUAGUAAUCGUGGAUCAGAAUGCCACGGCGAAUACGUUCCCGGGCCUUGUACACACCGCCCGUCACACCAUGGGAGUGGGUUGCAAAAGAAGUAGGUAGCUUAACCUUCGGGAGGGCGCUUACCACUUUGUGAUUCAUGACUGGGGUGAAGUCGUAACAAGGUAAGCGUAGCGAG